UCACACAUGAGGACAAGUUCCUUCACAACACUGAGGGGGGGAGCCGCCUCAUCCUCCUCUCUCCCUCUGCUGGUCAGGGAUUACGGUCCUGAAUACAGCUUAUAAGAUCUUUAGCCGAAUCUCUGAAGGAAUGGAGUUCAUGAGGAGACAUGAAGUACAGAGAGGGUGGACAGGACAGACUGUGGUAAUGGAGACUGCAUACAAGUGCUGCUGCUCAUUACCCCCACCUCUUUUCUGUACUUCAUGUCUUCCCAUGAUCUCCAUUCCUACAGGGAUUCAGAUGAAGAUCUUAUAAGCUAUAUUCAGGAUCAUACUGUAA